CCUACGGGUGGCAGCAGUGGGGAAUAUUGGGCAAUGGGCGCAAGCCUGACCCAGCAACGCCGCGUGAAGGAAGAAGGCUUUCGGGUUGUAAACUUCUUUUCUGAGGGACGAAGAAAGUGACGGUAACUCAGGAAUAAGCCACGGCUAACUACGUGCCAGCAGCCGCGGUCAUACGUAGGUGGCAAGCGUUAUCCGGAUUUCUUGGGUGUAAAGGGCGUGUAGGGGGGAAAGCAAGUCAGAUGUGAAAACUCAGGGCUCAACCCUGAGCCUGCAUUUGAAACUGGUUUUCUUGAGUGCUGGAGAGGCAAUCGGAAUGCCGGGGGUAGCGGUGAAAUGCGUAGAUAGACGGAGGAACACCAGUGGCGAAGGCGGAUUGCUGGACAGUAACUGACGCUGAGGCGCGAAAGCGUGGGGAGCAAACAGGAUUAGAUACCCGAGUAGUC
rnacentral:rRNA from 1 species